GACGAACGCUGGCGGCGUGCUUAACACAUGCAAGUCGAACGGAAAGGCCCUGCUUGCAGGGUACUCGAGUGGCGAACGGGUGAGUAACACGUGGGUGAUCUGCCCUGCACUUCGGGAUAAGCCUGGGAAACUGGGUCUAAUACCGGAUAUGACCUUCCAUGUAGUGUGGGGGGUGGAAAGAUUUAUCGGUGUGGGAUGAGCCCGCGGCCUAUCAGCUUGUUGGUGGGGUAAUGGCCUACCAAGGCGUCGACGGGUAGCCGGCCUGAGAGGGUGGACGGCCACAUUGGGACUGAGAUACGGCCCAGACUCCUACGGGAGGCAGCAGUGGGGAAUAUUGCACAAUGGGCGGAAGCCUUAUGCAGCGACGCCGCGUGGGGGAUGACGGCCUUCGGGCUGUAAACCUCUUUCGACAGGGACGAAGCUUCGGUGACGGUACCUGUAUAAGAAGCACCGGCUAACUACGUG
rnacentral:rRNA from 1 species